rnacentral:rRNA from 1 species
CAUACGUCCUAAGGGAGAAAGCGGGGGACCGAAAGGCCUCGCGCGGUUGGACGAACCGAUGUGCGAUUAGCUAGUUGGUAGGGUAAUGGCCUACCAAGGCGACGAUCGCUAGCUGGUCUGAGAGGAUGAUCAGCCACACUGGAACUGAGACACGGUCCAGACUCCUACGGGAGGCAGCAGUGGGGAAUAUUGGACAAUGGGCGCAAGCCUGAUCCAGCAAUGCCGCGUGUGUGAAGAAGGCCUUCGGGUUGUAAAGCACUUUUAUCAGGAGCGAAAUACUACUGGCUAAUAACCGGUGGGGCUGACGGUACCUGAGGAAUAAGCACCGGCUAACUUCGUGCCAGCAGCCGCGGUAAUACGAAGGGUGCAAGCGUUAAUCGGAAUUACUGGGCGUAAAGCGUGCGUAGGCGGUUAUUUAAGUCUGUUGUGAAAUCCCCGGGCUCAACCUGGGAAUGGCAAUGGAUACUGGAUAGCUAGAGUGUGAUAGAGGAUGGUGGAAUUCCCGGUGUAGCGGUGAAAUGCGUAGAGAUCGGGAGGAACAUCAGUGGCGAAGGCGGCCAUCUGGAUCAACACUGACGCUGA